GAACGCGAAGAACCUUACCAGGUCUUGACAUCCCUCUGACCGCUCUAGAGAUAGAGCUUUCCUUCGGGACAGAGGUGACAGGUGGUGCAUGGUUGUCGUCAGCUCGUGUCGUGAGAUGUUGGGUUAAGUCCCGCAACGAGCGCAACCCCUAUUGUUAGUUGCCAUCAUUUAGUUGGGCACUCUAGCGAGACUGCCGGUAAUAAACCGGAGGAAGGUGGGGAUGACGUCAAAUCAUCAUGCCCCUUAUGACCUGGCUACACACGUGCUACAAUGGCUGGUACAACGAGUCGCAAGCCGGUGACGGCAAGCUAAUCUCUUAAAGCCAGUCUCAGUUCGGAUUGUAGGCUGCAACUCGCCUACAUGAAGUCGGAAUCGCUAGUAAUCGCGGAUCAGCACGCCGCGGUGAAUACGUUCCCGGGUCUUGUACACACC
rnacentral:rRNA from 1 species